CGUUGUAAAUUCGCUUAAUUCCUUCCUAAACUGAGAGCCGGAUGCAAAUUCCGGCUCUUUUUUUGCUAGUU
rnacentral:misc_RNA from 1 species